rnacentral:rRNA from 1 species
ACGGGUGAGUAACGCGUGGGUAACCUGCCCCAUACCGGGGGAUAACGGUUAGAAAUGACCGCUAAUACCGCUUAAGCGCACGAGGCCGCAUGGCCGCGCGCGAAAAACUCCGGUGGUAUGGGAUGGGCCCGCGUCUGAUUAGGUAGUUGGCGGGGUAAGGGCCCACCAAGCCGACGAUCAGUAGCCGACCUGAGAGGGUGGCCGGCCACAUUGGGACUGAGACACGGCCCAAACUCCUACGGGAGGCAGCAGUGGGGAAUAUUGCGCAAUGGGGGAAACCCUGACGCAGCAACGCCGCGUGAGUGAAGAAGUAUCUCGGUAUGUAAAGCUCUAUCAGCGGGGAAGAAGGAAGACGGUACCCGACUAAGAAGCCCCGGCUAACUACGUGCCAGCAGCCGCGGUAAUACGUAGGGGGCGAGCGUUAUCCGGAUUUACUGGGUGUAAAGGGAGCGUAGACGGCGGCGCAAGUCUGAAGUGAAAGCCCGUGGCUCAACCGCGGAACCGCUUUGGAAACUGCGUGGCUAGAGUGCUGGAGAGGUAAGCGGAAUUCCUGGUGUAGCGGUGAAAUGCGUAGAUAUCAGGAGGAACACCGGUGGCGAAGGCGGCUUACUGGACAGUGACUGACGUUGAGGCUCGAAAGCGUGGGGAGCGAACAGGAUUAGAUACCC